ensembl:lncRNA
ACGGGUGCGGGGGGCAGUUGGGGUCCAGCCGCGGGGGCGGCGCGGCGGGGCGAGGCGAGGGUCCCGACUUGGUUGACAUUCAUUAGCUCUGAUGAGCUUAAUUACCUUCCUCAAAUACUGCGGCGCGCAGGAGCGGCGCGGGCGGAGGCUACUUCCAGGAUGAUUUUAUUGAUUGUGACUGAUGGAUGGCAUCAACAUUUCAUAGUGAAGAAUCAUGGUUUUGUUACAUCAGGAAAAUUAAAUUGGGAGAGUUAUUUUCUCUCCCCGUGAUGGUGGCAGUUAGAAUAUUUCACCUGUAAUGAGAUGUGUGCGUUCUGUGCCACCGCGAGCCACGGCUCGGCCAUUAAAUCUAUGUAAAUGAAGAGAAACACGGGAGAGCCGCGCAUAAUAACGCGCGGAACAGAGAAAUGGAUCCUGGAAAGUGAUUAAUUUAUUUGAUGAUGCCUCAAGUGAGGAAUUUUAGGUCACAAAUGAAGUGACAGAAUGACAAAUUACCAUUUUAAAGAAUUUACUGGGCAUCAUUACUGAACAAUUGUCAGGAAUCUUUACAAUUAAAGUCUCAGUGGAGAGUGGUAGGAGGUUUACAGUCAAUUGCGGUUUUAAUGUGAUAGAAGAGGAUGAACCCGCUCGCAUAUUUCAAUGGAUUUCCUUAGGUUAUGUCCCUUCCCCGGCUGUACGUCACGGUGCCUACUACCAGGACCGACUGCAGUGUGCACGGCGAAGUUGCAAUUUGAAAUAAAGACAUUGUCUCCAGGCCCCAUCUCCACACGGCAGGCUGGAUUGGGGGAAAUGUGCGCGCUGCUUCCCUUUGCUGCAAAAGACGCUCAGGGUUUCCCUGUUGUGCAUAAUGGCACAUUUGGGGUCAGUCCCCUCCAGCGUCUCUCCAUUAGAGGUGACCCUCCCUUUCGUUUUUCUUUUAUCCUUGCUUGCCGCGGAAAAUACAAACACGCGAGCCAGUGAUCGAGGGCAUGUCCUCCAGGGAGCCUUCGAGUCCUGGGCGAGGUGCAGGGAGAGGCUGAGCUGGUUUGGCCUGGCACAGCCCCGAGUGACCCGAGCGUAUCCGAGGGCAGCGUGACUGUUGUGUGUGAGCUCAGCCCUCCUGCCACGCUUGCAAAAUCUUUCGUCCUCUGCCAGCUUACAUCAGCUGUCAGAGGGAGUUGCAGAAAUGCACCAAAGGUGCCUUGGACUCUGAGGAUUUGAGAGCGAGAAAGCAGAUUCCUAAGUUCCAUAGUGAAGAAUAGAUUUUAAAUGGACUUAAGACACGGGAGAGAAGAUGCUUCGUGCAGUCAGAGGACGAGGCUUCUUGUCCUUUCCCACGGUUCAAGAUGAUGGUGGAGGAUGAGGGACAUUUGAUUAAUUGAAAUGUCAAUGAUUGGCCACCGUGUGCCAAGUGUAUGGAGAAAAGUACAAAUAUGUUGACUGUGCCCUUAACAAACCUCCUCACCGCUGAGCAGUUGGGCCCCCAAAGAUGUCCAGACACUUCUUGUAAUUCUAUAAGCUGACAUUUCUGAGGACUUUUAUCACACCAAAAUGACUUAAUUACGUUCAUUUCUUCUCUUUCUGUCAAGGAUGUUUUAUUCCAGGAGCAGCGCUUCUCUGACUGCCUUUUCCCCUCCAAAUUCUUGCAGUGGCAUUCCUCCCUUCAAAGGGAAAUCCAAUCCCUUAGUUCCAGACACCUUCUCUUUGCUUCUCUUUCCCCAGCAUUUGGCUAUAAAAACUUUCAAGCACACAGAAAGCGAAUAUCCCGGUAGCUGCUAACCUAGACUCUCCCCUUGAUAUUUUACUACACUCAUUUCAUCAAGCAUCCUAACCAAAUAUCAUCAAUCCAUCUGGUAAUUUUUGAAUGCACUUCCAAGUAAAUUAUAGUUCCCCUAAAUACUUGAGCAUGCCUGUCAUUAACUAGAACCUAAUACUUAUUUUUGUUGUUUUUUUCUCUUGACCUCCAUUUUAUUUUAAUUUU